GAUGAAGAACGUAGCGAAAUGCGAUACGUAAUGUGAAUUGCAGAUCUCUCAGUGAACCAUCGAAUUUUUGAACGCACAUUGCGCCCUGUGGUAUUCCGCAGGGCAUGCCUGUUCGAGCGUCAUUUCAACCCUCAAGCCCCGCUUGGUGUUGGGCCCCGCCCGCUGUGGCCGGCCCUAAAGACAGUGGCGGCGCCGCCUGGCCCUCAGCGUAGUACAUCUCUCGCUCCAGGGUCCGGUGGCCGCCUGCCAGAACCCCCCAACUCUGUGGUUGACCUCGGAUCAGGUAGGGAUACCCGCUGAACUUAAGCAUAUCAAUAAGCGGAGGA
rnacentral:misc_RNA from 1 species